UAGGCAAAGAUCGCUGGAUAGCCUAACUGAAGACUUCACCAGCGAUCUCGGGACGAAACACUAUAUCUCCGGGAGAGGGCGCACCUAAAACUUGGCUCGAGUAAGACUCGCCAAAUAUUCAAUAAUAGUUCAUGAAAUUGUGUAUAUCUUGAUGAAAGCAGCCAUUGAAUAGAACAAAAUAUCAAAAAUUAGGGGACAUCUGUGUUGACAACCUGCAGUAAAUUUGCUUGCUGAAGGGUGAGUGGGUUUAGUUAAUGCUAAAUAAACUACGAAGGACAUGGGUGAAGAGCCUUCUUUAAGUAUGUAAUAGAAGCCAAAUCUGUUGUUCAAUGGGGUGUUAAAGCAGCAGGAACAAUCGUAUAAUGCAGGACAGAACGAGGGACAGACUAUACAAGAUCGCUUCCCAAUUUCAUUCAAAGAAAUUAACUUUUGCGCGCUUGUAUUCACUUCGAAUGUAGAUUUCACUUGAAUAAAUAUACAUACUUAAUCCAAAGUCAAACUGUGACAAGCCUUGAAAUAUAAAUGACGUGAUCUAUCUUUUUUUUAAAUUUCCAAACUUUUUAAAAGUUGAACUAGAUACUCGAAAAAAUUUUCGUCCUUCUUAUAUAAUCUGUGAUUUUGGCUAAUGUUUGAUACUCAUUUGUGUUUGUAUGUUUCUAGUCAUGGUUGAUAUGUUAGCUGUAGCACCCUUAACAUGUAAUUACAUUUCAACAAUGUGUUUAUAAAAGUAUAGUGAUAAAUAAAUAUAUUUUGGCAGUUUGAAACAGUGAACUGAAGAGAGAAAUGGAAGGUACCCGUAGGUACGCGAAUUCGCCUAAAAAUGUGCCCAAAAGUGUAUGAGAGAGAUGGGGCAUUUGUGGGAAGGACAUCUCUUUCUAUAGGUUUUUUAUUUACAAAUAUCAGCUGAUUCUCAUGACGUUUUUGUGGUUAUUUAAUUUAAUAUCGUUUUUAUGAUGAUGUUGAGGAGUAUUUAAUGAGAAAAUACAUAAGUAAACCGCAUCAAAACAGGAAAUAAGUCUCCCAAAACUUAUUUUAAACUUUGAAAACCUUCAUACUAUACGUUAUGAAUCUGCUAGUUUUUGAGAAAUAAAUAGGUAUAAAGAGAGCGAAAGUUGAUUCAACAAUGGUUGUAUGCUGUGCUGUUAAUUGAUGCCGAAAUUCACACAACAAAAAUGAGCCUGUGGCGUUCCACUCGUAUGUUGAUUAGAAAAUAUUUUCAAUGUAACAAUUUUCAAUUUGUAAAUUUUUAUAACUUCAAAAGCUUUAUGUUUUCAUUAUUUCAGGUUUCCUUUUAAACGCCCAGGUAUUUUAAAACAUUUGAGCAGAGCUGUAGGAAGGGAAAAUUGGUUUCAAUUAUAAACAAGUAGAAUAAGUGCAUUUUUUAUCAUAAGAUUUUACAUCAUACCAGGUUAUAAAAGAAAAAUUUUGAAACUUGAUGCAUUACCAAGUGUAUUCAAUAUCCCAAAACAUUUAAAGAAGAACGUACCGAAACCUAUGGCUAUACUGCAGGUGUUGAAGAAGCAAUGGAUGUGGGUUUAAGUAUACACCCAGAUACUAGUUCAGCAACAGAAUCUACUACUACUACUGCAAUAACUUCUGUAAAAUUUGAAGAGUUAAAUAUGAAUUCAGGUGUUAUUUUACUAUCUACAUCUACAACAACACCAAAAACAUAAAAUUUUUAGUUCAUGCAUCACAUAUUGUAUAUUCAAUAGCAAAUUCUUUAGAUAAACAAAUUAGGGCAUUGGUUAGUGAAGACGAAUUGAGGAAAACAAAACAAGUUUCGGUGAAUAGAGCUAUGAAAUAUUUUUCAGCAAAAAUAGAUCUCUUUACCCCUGCACACCUUGUGUAUACUGAAUUUAUUGAAGAGAAACUGCAAGAAGUUCAAAUCAUCAGAAAAAUUUCAAAUAUUAGUAUAUUCUUGAAAUGUAGAAUGCAAAAUGAAUCUAAACUAAUUGAUGAUGAACUUCAUGGAAGAUCGGCAACCAUCAGACAAAAUGUCUAAACUCAUUUUAUCAAAAUAUUAAGUUUUGUGUAUAUACUUAUGUACAUAUAUUUAUAAUUGUCUCCAUUAAAAUUAUUUGAAAAAAUUUAUUCUCGUUUUAAUUUGGGAGAGCUCCCAUAU